GACGAACGCUGGCGGCAGGCCUAACACAUGCAAGUCGAGCGGGCCCUUCGGGGUUAGCGGCGGUGGUGGGAUUAACACGGGGGAACGUACCCUUCUCUGCGGAGUCGCCGCCUGUGACUUAGCGUAAGACCGCAUACGCCCUUUGGGGGAAGGAGUUAUGGGGGAAGGGUCGGGGCGGGUUGGAUUAGGUGGUUGGUGGGGUAAUGGCACACCAAGCAGACGUUCCAUAGCUGGUGUGAGAGGAUGAUCAGCCACACUGGGACUGCGACACGGCCCACCCUCCUACGGGAGGCAGGAGUGGGGAAUCUUAGAGAAUGGGGGCAAACCUGAUAUAGCCAUGCGGGGUGAGUGAUGAAGGGCUUAGGGUUGUAAAGCUCUUUCAGCUGGGAAGAGAAUGACGGUAACAGCAGAAGAAGCACCGGCUAACUCCGUG
rnacentral:rRNA from 1 species